AUUUUACUAUUCAUCCAGGCGCACGCUUGGCUGGGUAGCAAAACACUCCCCUCAUGUUCCUCCAUUUUGACCAGCGCCACAGCAAUCUUUGGGUCGGAGUGGAAACGCCGUGGUCUGCGGAGUUUCCUAGUGAACCCGACGUUUGUUGUGUAACUCAGAUGCCAUGGUGGAUGACUUGUAGAGUAGGUUUAAUUAGGCCUAAACUUUGUUAGCAAGGUCAAAUCCGUUAUUUUGGCCACAAUUAAUUGCAUGGUAUGCGGUCGAGAAAUCUCAUCCCUGCUGCACACGACGUGUAGUGCAUCAUCGUUUCA
rnacentral:lncRNA from 1 species